GGAAAGCAGAGUUGAAAUCGUCUCUGAAACAGCUGGAAAAGUUCUAGUUUAGUUCUUGGUGAACAUUUGACAUCCAGGUUACAUGCUAUGACUCAUCAAAAGAUAACUUGCAACUUGCCAAAUAUGAAAAACUUCAGGAUUUCUAAAGGAGCCAAAUUCCCUCAGGAUACUUGCAGAGAGGAACUGAGCUUUAUCCAGAGGCACACCCAGUGUAAAAUGAAUAAUGCCUUAAACUUCCUCUUACUACUGUAGGGGAAUACCGAGAUGGCCUUAAAGAAUACAUUCAAUGACGGCUAUGUAAACAUAAACUUAGCUUGACAGCAGGAAGGACUUUUUUGUCUUAUGCUGUAUUAUUCGUGGCACGACAAAACCGCGGUCCACUAAAGCGCGCCCGAUUAAAGCGCGUACCUGACGUCAUCAGCAGC